GGUGCUCGCGCACGCGCUUGUCCGAGCGUGCGCAGUCAAACGGGAAACAGGGAGCACGACAGUGCCAACCUGUGCUGUCCCCGCAACGGUACGCGACCGGCGGCUUUCCACGAAAGCCGCGCAUUUCGUUCAGGGCCACUGCGCGGCGGGAUCGGCGGGAAGGCGGACGCGGUGGGGUCGCAAGCCCGGAUACCGGCCAGCGCAAGUGGCGAGCC
rnacentral:ncRNA from 2 species